rnacentral:RNase_P_RNA from 1 species
CGAGUCGGUCGGAUAGUCGCUGCUGCCCUUGUGUAACUGGCAGGAGAGGAAAGUCCGGACUCCGCAGGGUGGCGUGCCGGAUAACGUCCGGGCAGUGCGAACUGACAGCCAGUGCAGCAGAAAGCAAACCGCCCGACCACUCAAUGGUGUGCUUGCACGCCAUUGAGUGGUCGGGUAAGGGUGAAAGGGUGCGGUAAGAGCGCACCGCGUCGGUGGCAACAUACGACGGCAGGGUAAACCUCACGCGGAGCAAGACCAAAUAGG